UACUAAACUAUUUUAGGCUUACAGUUGGCUCGUAUUAUGUCAUAUUAAAAUAUAUACGUAUUGUAUACGUACUUACUCCAUGGUAGUCCUUCUGACUUUCUUCUUUAAAAGUUUUGUUCCUUUAAUUUUGUAUAUUAGAAAUUGACAACAUUGGAAAGAGGAGGGAAAUGUCAGACCCCGAACAUUUAAUUAAACAAUUUCGACAUCACGUCAGCUCAGAAAACCGAUGGUUGGGAACGAAGAUGGCUGCUCAUUACAUCAUCUUAAAAUGAUGAUGAUGAUGACGAUGAAGAGGACGCCAAAGGGAACAACCACUGUGUUGAAAUUGAUACCAGGAUUCUGAGGUUCAGGCGGUAAGACUGUUCAGAUAAAAAAAA